AAUAUAGAUGACGAAGAGGGAAUCAGGUGAAAAUCCUGAACAGACUCGCUACUGUAAGUCCUAUGCAACAUUUUGACAAACACUUUUGCCACUGCAUCAUAUUAUAAUAUCACAAUAUUAUAGCAGAUGUGGGAAGGCUGAUCAAAAUGGGGAUAAGUCAGGAGACCUACCAAUGUAUUA
rnacentral:ncRNA from 1 species